rnacentral:rRNA from 1 species
GGCCCCCCGAGUGAAUGUUUUAUGGGGGGUCUGACCUGCCCGGUGACUAUAGGUUAAACGGCCGCGGUACCCUGACCGUGCAAAGGUAGCAUAAUCAUUUGCCUUUUAAUUGAGGGCUAGUAUGAAAGGUUUGACGCGAAUUGAGCUGUCUCUUUAAGAAAUACUAAGAAAUUAACAUUUAGGUGAAGAGGCUUAAAUUUAGUUAAGGGACAAGAAGACCCUAUUGAGCUUUAGUUAAUUUCUGGGUAGAAAGCAGUAUUUUAAAUGCUUUUCUAGGAAGAAUCUUUAGUUGGGGCGACUUAGGAACCAAAGGAACUUCCUAUUGUUUAUUAAUGGCUGGCAUGUGUGAAUCCAGUAAGACUGAUUAGUGGAAUAAGUUACCAUAGGGAUAACAGCGUAAUCCUUUUGGAGAGUUCGUAUCGAAGAAUGGGUUUGCGACCUCGAUGUUGGACUAAGGUGUCCUGAGGGUGUAGAAAUUCUUAAGGGUUGGUC